GUGGUUUGAUCAUGGCUCAGAUUGAACGCUGGCGGGAUGCUUUACACAUGCAAGUCGAACGGCAGCACGGACUUCGGUCUGGUGGCGAGUGGCGAACGGGUGAGUAAUGUAUCGGAAUCCGCCUAGUAGCGGGGGAUAACUACGCGAAAGCGUAGCUAAUACCGCAUACGCCCUUCGGGGGAAAGCGGGGACCUUCGGGCCUCGCACUAUUAGAGCGGCCGAUAUCGGAUUAGCUAGUUGGUGGGGUAACGGCUCACCAAGGCGACGAUCCGUAGCCGGUUUGAGGACGACCAGCCACACGGCUGGGACUGGGAGACACGGCCCAGACUCCUACGGGAGGCAGCAGUGGGGAAUUUUGGACAAUGGGGGAAAUCCCUGAUCCAGCCAUCCUGCGUGCGAUGAAGGCCUUCGGGUUGUAAAAGCACUUUUGGCAGGAAAGAAACGGCAUCGAUAAUACCCCGUGCAACUGACGGUACCUGCAGAAUAAGCACCGGCUAACUACGUGCCAGCAGCCGCGGUAAUACGUAGGGUGCAAGCGUUAAUCGGAAUUACUGGGCGUAAAGCGCAGCAGGCGGUUCGGCAGGAUGAAACCGCAGAGCUUAACUUUGGAACUGCAUUUUUAACUACCGAGCUAGAGUGUGUCAGAGGGAGGUGGAAUUCCGCGUGUAGCAGGAAAACGCGUAGAUAUGCGGGAGGAACACCGACGGCGCGGCAGCCUCCUUCUGGGAUAACACUGACGCUCAUGCACGAAAGCGUGGGGAGCAAACAGGAUUAGAUACCCCAGUCUCACGCCCUAAACGAUGUCAACUAGCUGUUGGGGCUUUCGGGCCUUAUAGCGUGCAGUUAACGCGUGAAGUUGACCGCCUGGGGUAUACGGUCAAGAUUUAAACUCCAAAGAAUUGACGGGGACCCGUCGCUGCGGUGGAUGAUGACGACUCCGAUGCAACGAAAACCUUACCUACCCUUGACAUGUCUGGAAUGCCGAAGAGAUUUGGCAGUGCUCGCAAGAGAACCGGGAACAGGUGCCGUACGGCUGCCGUCAGCUCGUGUCGUGAGAUGCUGGGUUAAGUCCCGCAACGAGCGCAACCCCGUCAUUAGUUGCUAUGAAAGGGCACUCUAAUGAGACUGCCGGUGACAAACCGAGGAAGGUGGGGAUGACGUCAAGUCCUCAUGGCCCUUAUGGGUAGGGCUUCACAUCGUCAUACAAUGGUCGGGACAGAGGGUCGCCAACCCGCGAGGGGAGCCAAUCCAGAAACCGAUCGUAGUCCGGAUCGCAGUCUGCAACUCGACUGCGGAAGUCGGAAUCGCUAGUAAUCGCGGAUCACAUGUCGCGGUGAAUACGUUCCCGGGUCUGCACACACCGCCCGUCACUGGGAGUGGGUUUUACCAGAAGUAGUUAGCCUAACUGCAAGGGGGCGAUUACCACGGUAGGAUUCAUGACUGUGAAGUCGUAACAAGGGU
rnacentral:rRNA from 1 species